rnacentral:lncRNA from 1 species
GGGAGGAGGUGUGCAAUCAAACCACAAAUGCAGAAGGACUGCUGGGAGCUGAAUGUGGGGGAGAAGACACCAAAGGGAGCGGCAGGACACAACAAGUGUGGCAUGGGAAGACAAAGGGGGAAGUGGGGACGAGCAGGAGGCCUGGGACUUUAAAUGCUACUGGAAGUCAGAAGGGAAGAGAUGACUGAUACCAGAAAAGGAACUGUACAGCUGGAAAGUGAAAUGUGAGAUGGGAAUUGCACAUGUGAGAAGGGAAGGCAACUGAGGCUGUUGAUGGGGCAAGGAAACUUCAGGGUGCCUUUUAUGAGAAAACUUUGGGCCCAAGAAGGUUUAUGCUGAACCCUCAAACACAUGCUGUUCAAAUGGCUUGAAAUAUUGAGUGAAGUGUGUUCAUCUUUCAUUAGCUGGAGAAAAGGGUGGAGAUGGAUUGAGAGGGCUGCUCUGGUGUCCAGUCCUGGGUGGAGGUUCCUGUAUCCCAUGUGGCUGGAUUUAUGGUCAGUUUGGCUUGGAGCUAAAGGACAAAUCCAUGGUGUACAUCAGCCCUGCCUUUCGAUGUGGUGCCAGUGUGUUGGGCUGCCAUUCAGGAGAACCGAGGUGGAAAUGGAAGCCAAACUACACGUGGCUCUUGGGUGUCUCUCUGUAUGAUAAACCAGGGGGGUGCACUGUGCCAUUUCUCAACAAUGCAUGCAUUUUCUUUCCAUUGAAAUGCUAUGGUUGGUGUUACAGUUUUCAAAUUAAAAACUGAAUGUGUUUGAAUAUUUUCCCACACAAACAUUUCUUUGACUUGCAAAAUUCUUUUCUGUUAAAAGUGUCAGAGUGGAUUUUUAACCCAUUCUAAGAAAUUUUCUGCUGUCAAAAAUGACUAAUAUCCUAAACUCUCUUAAGAGUUAUUUGUCCCCAUUUUCCUUGCUGAAAAACGAUGAUUUCUGGAAUUGUUUUUGUUUUGUUUUGUUUUCUUUUUUCUCCCUUUAGUAUUCUUCUAGCAUCUCCAUAGUUUUUUCUCACCCAUGUAUAGCACUAAACUUUGGAAAGAGUGAUUUUUCUGAACAUGGAAAGUAAAAGAAAUGGCACAGUAGUUCAGCUGGGAUUAAGAAGAGAUUUAAGCCAAGCCUGAUCUAUAGGGAGAACUUUUCUGGAACCAAAAUGCUCCUACAGGUUUUUUUUUUUGAGCUUAGUAUUUUUUGGAAGUUCAAUGUACACUUCUACAAGGACUUCCAAAUGUAUCUUGUUCACUAAUAAAUUCCAAAUAAUUAUUGCUGGCUUUUGGGCU